rnacentral:rRNA from 1 species
CCUACGGGUGGCUGCAGUGGGGAAUAUUGGACAAUGGGGGGAACCCUGAUCCAGCCGUGCCGCGUGUGUGAAGAAGGCCCUCGGGUUGUAAAGCACUUUCAGUGAGGAAGAACGCCUGGUGGUUAAUACCCAUCAGGAAAGACAUCACUCACAGAAGAAGCACCGGCUAACUCCGUGCCAGCAGCCGCGGUAAUACGGAGGGUGCGAGCGUUAAUCGGAAUUACUGGGCGUAAAGCGCGCGUAGGUGGCUUGAUAAGCCGGUUGUGAAAGCCCCGGGCUCAACCUGGGAACGGCAUCCGGAACUGUCAAGCUAGAGUGCAGGAGAGGAAGGUAGAAUUCCCGGUGUAGCGGUGAAAUGCGUAGAGAUCGGGAGGAAUACCAGUGGCGAAGGCGGCCUUCUGGACUGACACUGACACUGAGGUGCGAAAGCGUGGGUAGCAAACAGGAUUAGAUACCCGGGUAGUC